rnacentral:rRNA from 2 species
CCCGCACGCCGGAAGACCAAGGGUUCCUGUCCAACGUUAAUCGGGGCAGGGUGAGUCGACCCCUAAGGCGAGGCCGAAAGGCGUAGUCGAUGGGAAACAGGUUAAUAUUCCUGUACUCGGUGUUACUGCGAAGGGGGGACGGAGAAGGCUAUGUUGGCCGGGCGACGGUUGUCCCGGUUUAAGCAUGUAGGCGGAUGUUCCAGGUAAAUCCGGAACGUCACUAACGCUGAGGUGUGAUGACGAGGCACUACGGUGCUGAAGUGACAAAUGCCCUGCUUCCAGGAAAAGCCUCUAAGCAUCAGGUAACAUCAAAUCGUACCCCAAACCGACACAGGUGGUCAGGUAGAGAAUACCAAGGCGCUUGAGAGAACUCGGGUGAAGGAACUAGGCAAAAUGGUGCCGUAACUUCGGGAGAAGGCACGCUGAUGGUAGGUGAAACGACUUGCUCGUGGAGCUGAAAUCAGUCGAAGAUACCAGCUGGCUGCAACUGUUUAUUAAAAACACAGCACUGUGCAAACACGAAAGUGGACGUAUACGGUGUGACGCCUGCCCGGUGCCGGAAGGUUAAUUGAUGGGGUUAUCCGUAAGGAGAAGCUCUUGAUCGAAGCCCCGGUAAACGGCGGCCGUAACUAUAACGGUCCUAAGGUAGCGAAAUUCCUUGUCGGGUAAGUUCCGACCUGCACGAAUGGCGUAAUGAUGGCCAGGCUGUCUCCACCCGAGACUCAGUGAAAUUGAACUCGCUGUGAAGAUGCAGUGUACCCGCGGCAAGACGGAAAGACCCCGUGAACCUUUACUAUAGCUUGACACUGAACACUGGUCCUUGAUGUGUAGGAUAGGUGGGAGGCUUUGAAGUGUGGACGCCAGUCUGCAUGGAGCCAUCCUUGAAAUACCACCCUUUAAUGGCUGGUGUUCUAACGUGGGCCCCUGAUCGGGGUUGCGGACAGUGUCUGGUGGGUAGUUUGACUGGGGCGGUCUCCUCCUAAAGAGUAACGGAGGAGCACGAAGGUCAGCUAAUCCUGGUCGGACAUCAGGAGGUUAGUGCAAUGGCAUAAGCUGGCUUGACUGCGAGCGUGACGGCGCGAGCAGGUGCGAAAGCAGGUCAUAGUGAUCCGGUGGUUCUGAAUGGAAGGGCCAUCGCUCAACGGAUAAAAGGUACUCCGGGGAUAACAGGCUGAUACCGCCCAAGAGUUCAUAUCGACGGCGGUGUUUGGCACCUCGAUGUCGGCUCAUCACAUCCUGGGGCUGAAGUAGGUCCCAAGGGUAUGGCUGUUCGCCAUUUAAAGUGGUACGCGAGCUGGGUUUAGAACGUCGUGAGACAGUUCGGUCCCUAUCUGCCGUGGGCGCUGGAGAAUUGAGGGGGGCUGCUCCUAGUACGAGAGGACCGGAGUGGACGCAUCACUGGUGUUCGGGUUGUCAUGCCAAUGGCAUUGCCCGGUAGCUAAAUGCGGAAGAGAUAAGUGCUGAAAGCAUCUAAGCACGAAACUUGCCCCGAGAUGAGUUCUCCCUGACUCUUUGAGGGUCCUGAAGGAACGUUGAAGACGACGACGUUGAUAGGCCGGGUGUGUAAGCGCAGCGAUGCGUUGAGCUAACCGGUACUAAUGAACCGUGAGGCUUAACCUU